rnacentral:rRNA from 1 species
GUGGGGAAUCUUAGACAAUGGGCGCAAGCCUGAUCUAGCCAUGCCGCGUGAGCGAUGAAGGCCUUAGGGUUGUAAAGCUCUUUCGUGGGGGAAGAUAAUGACUGUACCCCAAGAAGAAGCCCCGGCUAACUCCGUGCCAGCAGCCGCGGUAAUACGGAGGGGGCUAGCGUUGUUCGGAAUUACUGGGCGUAAAGCGCACGUAGGCGGACUGGAAAGUCAGGGGUGAAAUCCCGGGGCUCAACCCCGGAACUGCCUUCAAAACUCCUGGUCUGGAGUUCGAGAGAGGUGAGUGGAAUUCCGAGUGUAGAGGUGAAAUUCGUAGAUAUUCGGAGGAACACCAGUGGCGAAGGCGGCUCACUGGCUCGAUACUGACGCUGAGGUGCGAAAGCGUGGGGAGCAAACAGGAUUAGAUACCCUAGUAGUCC